rnacentral:rRNA from 1 species
UACGGAAGGGGCAAGCGUUGUUCGGAAUCAUUGGGCGUAAAGGGCGCGUAGGUGGUUCUGUAUGUCUACCGUGAAAGCAUACAGCUCAACUGUAUUUUGUCGGUAGAAACUGCAGGACUUGAGGCUGGGAGGGGCUGGUGGAAUUCCCUGUGUAGCGGUGAAAUGCGUAGAGAUGGGGGAGAACACUCGUGGCGAAGGCGGCCUGCUGGGCAGUUGCUGACACUGAGGCGCGACAGCGUGGGGAGCAAACAGG